rnacentral:tRNA from 1 species
GUUUUUAUAGUUUAGUAAAAUAUUGGUUUUGUAAACCAAAGUUAGGUAAAUUUAAAUUACUUUAAAAACU